rnacentral:rRNA from 1 species
GGUCAAGUUAUUAAGGGUGCAGGGCGGAUGCCUUGGCACUAGGAGCCGAUGAAGGACGUGAUAAGCUGCGAUAAGCUUCGGGGAGUUGCACGUAAACUUUGAUCCGAAGAUUUCCGAAUGAGGAAACUCACUUAGAGUAAUGUCUAAGUAUCAUUAAGUGAAUACAUAGCUUAAUGAGGGGAACUCAGGGAACUGAAACAUCUAAGUACCUGAAGGAAGAGAAAGAAAUUCGAUUCCGUAAGUAGCGGCGAGCGAACGCGGAUUAGCCCAAACCAAUAAAGUUUUCUUUAUUGGGGUUGCGGACAUAUCAUAACGAAGAGGUAUCGUAAUUGAAGAGGUUUGGAAAGACCCACCACAGAAGGUAAUAGUCCUGUAUGUUAAACGAGAAGACUUCAGAUAUGAUCCAGAGUACCACGGGACACGUGAAACCCUGUGGGAAGCAGGAGGGACCACCCUCCAAGGCUAAAUACUACCUAGUGACCGAUAGCGUAUAGUACCGUGAGGGAAAGGUGAAAAGAACCCCGGGAGGGGAGUGAAAUAGAACCUGAAACCCUGCACUUACAAGCUGUGGAAGCACAUUUCUUGUGUGACCGCGUACUUUUUGUAGAACGGGCCAACGAGUUACGUUAAGUAGCAAGGUUAAGCACUUAAGGUGUGGAGCCGUAGCGAAAGCGAGUUUUAACUGAGCGUUCAGUUACUUGACGUAGACCCGAAACCGGGCGACCUACCCAUGAGCAGGAUGAAGCGAAAGUAAAAUUUCGUGGAGGUCCGAACCCACGAGCGUUGAAAAGCUCGGGGAUGACUUGUGGGUAGCGGUGAAAUUCCAAUCGAGCCCGGAGAUAGCUGGUUCUCCCCGAAAUAGCUUUAGGGCUAGCCUCAAGGUGAGAGAUACGGAGGUAGAGCACUGAAUGUCCUAGGGGGUAUUGCACCUACCGAAGACUAUCAAACUCCGAAUGCCGUCAUCUUAUACUUGGGAGUCAGACUGUGGGUGAUAAGAUUCAUAGUCGAAAGGGCAACAGCCCAGAUCGUCAGCUAAGGUCCCUAAAUGUAAGUUAAGUGGUAAAGGAUGUGGGAUUGCACAGACAACCAGGAUGUUGGCUUAGAAGCAGCCACUCAUUCAAAGAGUGCGUAAUAGCUCACUGGUCGAGUGAUCCUGCGCCGAAGAUUUCCGGGGCUAAAACUUACUACCGAAGCUACGGCAUCAGUAAUGAUGGGUAGGGGAGCUUCCCAUACGGGUUGAAGCAUGACCGUAAGGACAUGUGGACAGUAUGGGAGUGAGAAUGUUGGCAUGAGUAGCGAGAUGUGGGUGAGAAUCCCACAGGCCGUAAACCCAAGGUUUCCAGGGGAAGGUUCGUCCGCCCUGGGUUAGUCGGGACCUAAGCUGAGGCCGAAAGGCGUAGGUGAUGGACAACAGGUUGAUAUUCCUGUACUACCGAUAACCGUUUGAGAGAAGGGAUGACACAGUAGGAUAAGCUAAGCACACUGUUGGUUAUGUGUGCCCAAGCAUUGAGGUAGUCAAAGUAGGCAAAUCCGCUUUGAUAAUGCUGGGAUGUGAUGGGGAGCGAAAUUUAGUAGCGAAGUAGCUGAUUUCACACUGUCAAGAAAAGUCUCUAUCGAGGUUAAAGGUACCCGUACCGCAAACCGACACAGGUGGGUGAGGAGAGUAUCCUAAGGCCAGCGAGAGAACUGUUGUUAAGGAACUCGGCAAAAUGACCCCGUAACUUAGGGAUAAGGGGUGCCACCAUCAGGUGGCCGCAGAGAAUAGGCCCAAGCGACUGUUUACCAAAAACAUAGGUUUCUGCUAAGUCGCAAGACGAUGUAUAGGAGCUGACGCCUGCCCGGUGCUGGAAGGUUAAGGGGAUCUGUUAGAGCAAUCGAAGCAGUGAACUUAAGCCCCAGUAAACGGCGGCCGUAACUAUAACGGUCCUAAGGUAGCGAAAUUCCUUGUCGGGUAAGUUCCGACCCGCACGAAAGGCGUAACGAUUUGGGCACUGUCUCAACAACAGACUCGGUGAAAUUGUAAUUCCGGUGAAGAUGCCGGAUACCUGCGACAGGACGGAAAGACCCCAUGGAGCUUUACUGUAGCUUGACAUUGGGUCUUGGUACUACAUGUACAGGAUAGGUGGGAGGCUUUGAAACCAGGACGCCAGUUUUGGCGGAGCCAUCCUUGGGAUACCACCCUUGUAGUACUGGGACUCUAACCAUAGGCCAUGAAUCUGGUCUUGGGACACUGUCAGGUGGGCAGUUUGACUGGGGCGGUCGCCUCCCAAAAGGUAACGGAGGCGCUCAAAGGUUCUCUCAGUACGGUCGGAAAUCGUACGUAGAGUGUAAAGGCAAAAGAGAGCUUGAUUGCAAGACAUACAGGUCGAGCAAGGAUGAAAAUCGGACUUAGUGAUCCGGUGGUUCUGCGUGGAAGGGCCAUCGCUCAACGGAUAAAAGCUACCCUGGGGAUAACAGGCUUAUCUCCCCCAAGAGUCCACAUCGACGGGGAGGUUUGGCACCUCGAUGUCGGCUCAUCACAUCCUGGGGCUGUAGUAGGUCCCAAGGGUUGGGCUGUUCGCCCAUUAAAGUGGUACGCGAGCUGGGUUCAGAACGUCGUGAGACAGUUCGGUCCCUAUCCGUCGCAGGCGUAGGAAAUUUGAGAAGACCUGUCCUUAGUACGAGAGGACCGGGAUGGACGUACCUCUGGUGUACCAGUUGUUCUGCCAAGGGCAUGGCUGGGUAGCUAUGUACGGAAUGGAUAAGCGCUGAAAGCAUCUAAGCGCGAAGCCAACU